rnacentral:rRNA from 1 species
UAGUAGCGAAGGUCAUGAUCUCAGACUGCCAAGAAAAGCCUCUAGCCAGGAGAAGGUGCCCGUACCGCAAACCGACACAGGUAGGCGAGAAGAGAAUUCUAAGGCGCGCGGAAGAACUCUCGUUAAGGAACUCGGCAAAAUGACCCCGUAACUUCGGGAGAAGGGGUGCCUCGGUAGGGUGAAUAGCCCGAGGGGGCCGCAGUGAAAAGGCCCAAGCGACUGUUUAGCAAAAACACAGGUCUGUGCGAAGCCGCAAGGCGAAGUAUACGGGCUGACGCCUGCCCGGUGCUGGAAGGUUAAGGGGAGUGGUAAGCCUUCGGGCGAAGCUAUGAACCGAAGCCCCAGUAAACGGCGGCCGUAACUAUAACGGUCCUAAGGUAGCGAAAUUCCUUGUCAGGUAAAUUCUGACCCGCACGAAUGGCGUAACGACUUGGGCGCUGUCUCAACGAGAGAUCCGGUGAAAUUUUAAUACCUGUGAAGAUGCAGGUUACCCGCGACAAGACGGAAAGACCCCAUGGAGCUUUACUGCAGCUUGAUAUUGAAUUUGGGUACGAUCUGUACAGGAUAGGUGGGAGCCGUAGAACUUUGAGCGCCAGCUUGAAGGGAGGCAUCCUUGGGAUACCACCCUGAUCGUAUCUAGGUUCUAACUUGGUACCGUAAACCGGUGCGAGGACAGUGUCAGGUGGGCAGUUUGACUGGGGCGGUCGCCUCCUAAAGAGUAACGGAGGCGCCCCAAGGUUCCCUCAGAAUGGUUGGAAAUCAUUCGAAGAGUGCAAAGGCAGAAGGGAGCUUGACUGCGAGACCUACAAGUCGAGCAGGGACGAAAGUCGGGCUUAGUGAUCCGGUGGUACCGCAUGGAAGGGCCAUCGCUCAACGGAUAAAAGCUACCCUGGGGAUAACAGGCUUAUCUCCCCCAAGAGUCCACAUCGACGGGGAGGUUUGGCACCUCGAUGUCGGCUCAUCGCAUCCUGGGGCUGAAGUAGGUCCCAAGGGUUGGGCUGUUCGCCCAUUAAAGCGGUACGCGAGCUGGGUUCAGAACGUCGUGAGACAGUUCGGUCCCUAUCUGUCGUGGGCGUAGGAAAUUUGAGAGGAGCUGUCCUUAGUACGAGAGGACCGGGAUGGACGUACCGCUGGUGUACCAGUUGUUCCGCCAGGAGCACCGCUGGGUAGCUAUGUACGGAAGGGAUAAGCGCUGAAAGCAUCUAAGCGUGAAGCCCCCCUCAAGAUGAGAUUUCCCAAUUAGUAAGACCCCUUGAAGACGACGAGGUAGAUAGGUUGGGGGUGGAAGUGCAGUAAUGCAUGGAGCUGACCAAUACUAAUCGGUCGAGGGCUUAUCCUA